CGUAGCCGCGGUAAUACGUAGGGUGCGAGCGUUAAUCGGAAUUACUGGGCGUAAAGCGUGCGCAGGCGGUUUUGUAAGACAGGCGUGAAAUCCCCGGGCUCAACCUGGGAACUGCGCUUGUGACUGCACAGCUAGAGUAUGGCAGAGGGGGGUGGAAUUCCACGUGUAGCAGUGAAAUGCGUAGAGAUGUGGAGGAACACCGAUGGCGAAGGCAGCCCCCUGGGCCAAUACUGACGCUCAUGCGCGAAAGCGUGGGGAGCAAACAGGAUUAGAGACCCGUGUAGUCCCUGUCUCUUAUACC
rnacentral:rRNA from 1 species